GUAAAAUGGCAUAAACUCACGCUCUCAAACUAGCCAGAACAAUCACGCCACCGAGACCCAAAAAUCAAUCUCACGCUCUCAGUCAUAAUUCUUGAAUUCCAGGUUCCCCAGUUCUUGGUGUGGGUUUCACUGGUUCUUUGGCUACAUCGCGUCUAAAGCUCGGGGACCACAGGGAUGGAAUAAAAGGAUGUUGAAAGCAAAAUCAUUAUUGAUGAAGAAGACUGGGAAUAAGCCAUCUGCCAAAAAUGUUACAACAGAGUUGCAACUAGAGCAUCCCUUGCAACAACAGAAGAGGCAGCCACAACAGCCAGGAAAUAGACAGCCACAAGCCCCAGCAAAGAGACAGCCAUAACAACCAGCAAAGAGACAGCCACAACCACCACAGUUGCAGCAACUUGAGGCAUCACAGCAGCGGCAACCACAACCACCAUUACGUUCUAGUGAAAGUGCUGAUCAUGACAUGUCCUCUAAAGGGAAAAAGACAUGUGGCGUUACAAAAGGGAUAGGAACUCAUGAUAUUGUCACUGCUGCUAAUGAGAGGAUUCUGAUUCAGAUGAACGAGG